rnacentral:rRNA from 1 species
GAUGAACGCUGGCGGCGUGCCUAAUACAUGCAAGUCGAGCGAACGGACGAGAAGCUUGCUUCUCUGAUGUUAGCGGCGGACGGGUGAGUAACACGUGGAUAACCUACCUAUAAGACUGGGAUAACUUCGGGAAACCGGAGCUAAUACCGGAUAAUAUUUUGAACCGCAUGGUUCAAAAGUGAAAGACGGUCUUGCUGUCACUUAUAGAUGGAUCCGCGCUGCAUUAGCUAGUUGGUAAGGUAACGGCUUACCAAGGCAACGAUGCGUAGCCGACCUGAGAGGGUGAUCGGCCACACUGGAACUGAGACACGGUCCAGACUCCUACGGGAGGCAGCAGUAGGGAAUCUUCCGCAAUGGGCGAAAGCCUGACGGAGCAACGCCGCGUGAGUGAUGAAGGUCUUCGGAUCGUAAAACUCUGUUAUUAGGGAAGAACAUAUGUGUAAGUAACUGUGCACACCUUGACGGUACCUAAUCAGAAAGCCACGGCUAACUACGUG